rnacentral:rRNA from 1 species
UGGCGCACGGGUGAGUAACACGUGACUAACCUACCCUCGAGUGGGGAAUAACCUAGAGAAAUCUGGGCUAAUACCGCAUAACACUUACGAGUCAAAGCAGAAAUGCGCUUGAGGAGGGGGUCGCGGCAGAUUAGCUAGUUGGCGGGGUAAUGGCCCACCAAGGCAAAGACGGGUAGCUGGUCUGAGAGGAUGAUCAGCCACACUGGAACUGAGACACGGUCCAG